UACGUAGGGGGCUAGCGUUGUCCGGAAUCAUUGGGCGUAAAGGGCGCGUAGGUGGCCCGGUCAGUUCGUGGUGAAAGCGCGGGGCUCAACCCUGCGUCGGCCAUGAAUACUGCCGCGGCUGGAGCACUGUAGAGGCAGGCGGAAUUCCGGGUGUAGCGGUGGAAUGCGUAGAGAUCCGGAAGAACACCGGUGGCGAAGGCGGCCUGCUGGGCAGUUGCUGGACACUGAGGCGCGACAGCGUGGGGAGCAAACAGGGAUUAAGAAACCC
rnacentral:rRNA from 1 species